AAUGAAGUGCCUGAUAAAAGGAUUAUCGUGAUAGGAUAAAUUAUGUGAUUUAAUCACCUUUAUUA
rnacentral:tRNA from 1 species